UGUCUUCUAAAUAAAGACUAGUAUGAACGGCUAAAUGAGGACAAACCUGUCUCAUGCAACCAAUCAGUGAAAUUGAUCUUCCAGUACAAAAGCUGGGAUUAACUCAUAAGACGAGAAGACCCUGUGGAGCUUUAAACUAACCACUAACACACAAAUCCUACAAACCCUAGUGGCAAGUUUUGAGUUGGGGCGACUUCGGAAUCAACACACCUUCCGAGCUCAAAGGCAAGACCUUUCUCCAAGGCCAACAAGCCAAAGCAUACAAACGACCCAGUUACACUGAUCAACGAACCAAGUUACCCCAGGGAUAACAGCGCCAUCUUCUUCAAGAGUCCAUAUCGACAAGAAGGUUUACGACCUCGAUGUUGGAUCAGGACACCCAAAUGGUGCAGCCGCUAUUAUAGGUUCGUUUGUUCAACGAUUAACAGU
rnacentral:rRNA from 1 species